rnacentral:rRNA from 1 species
CCAAGUCCAGCAAUGAGUACGGUAAUGCUGACAUGGCCCAAAGAGGGUGAAAGGCCCGUUGGGGUGGAGAGGCAGAAAUGACAGCACCUUCCUGGAUAGACCUUGGAGUCGGGUUGUUUGUGAAUGCAGCCCAAAGUGGGUGGUAAACUCCAUCCAAGGCUAAAUACUUGCACGAGUCCGAUAGCGAACAAGUACCGUGAGGGAAAGUUGAAAAGUACUUUGAAGAGAGAGUAAACAGUGCGUGAAACCGCUCAGAGGUAAACGGGUGGAGUUGAACUGUGAGCUCUGUGGAUUUAGCUGGUGAGUGUGGUUUGAGCUUGGUCAAAUUGGUUGAUACUCGGGGUCUGCGUAGCAGCAGGUCUCCACUUUCGGGUGGGGAUGCGCGAUGCACUUAUCAAGUGUUGCGCGCUUCGAGUUUAUUCGGGCCAGCUUGCCAGUGCACUUUCGCAGAGCGGUCACCACGACCGGCAUCGCUGUCUUGCUGUUGUGGUUAAACCGGCCUUGCAUCGUCCUUGUGGCUUUGUCUGGUCGGGAUGGCAGGUAGCCCGUCGGUCCUCGGGUGUAAUCAGCUGACCACAUCGGUUAUGUGCAGUAUGUCGGAGACGGCGGCUUGUGGUGUGUGCGUGCGUGCCAGUCGGUCGGCGUGUCCGGGUUUGGUUGUUAUCUGCCUGUGUUCACAGGCCUAAUGAUAGCUCGGAUUCGUUCGGUCGGCGGUCGCGUGCGUGUCACUGUUUCCAGGGCCAAUAGUCUGUGGUGUUGCGGUAGACUAUCCACCUGACCCGUCUUGAAACACGGACCAAGGAGAGUAACAUGUGCGCGAGUCAUUGGGCGUAACGAAACCCAAAGGCGAAGUGAAAGUGAAGGUCUGGCUUGUCCGGACUGAGGUGAGAUCCUGUCGUGCCUCAUGCGCGGUAUCACCAAGCAUCGAGCGGCAGGCGCAUCACCGGCCCGUCCCAUGGUGUGAUGACCCUAUUCAGAGUUUGUCAUCGGGGCGGAGCAUGAGCGUACAUGUUGAGACCCGAAAGAUGGUGAACUAUGCUU